rnacentral:lncRNA from 1 species
UCUCAAAGCUGAGAUUAGAACAAUGAGAUUACAGAUUAAAUUGACGCUAUCAUACAAAACUAACAGGUAAUUGUUUAGAGCACACUUGAAACAAUAUAAGGUCCUAUAGAAUGCUAGAGUUGCCAUAGAUUGGUUGGCAUAAUUGUUAUAGUCAUACUGUAUAAUUGUGUUGUCGAGUAUUAGAUUAUUACACGGUAUAUAGUAAUUGACAUGAGGUUGUUUCCUUUGUUUAUUUAAGUUGAUAUAUGUAGUAGCGCGGGACAUAUACCUGUUUUUUCCCAUCUUUUUG